rnacentral:rRNA from 1 species
GAAAGUAAGAAAGGGCGUAUGGCGGAUGCCUAGGCUCACGGAGGCGAUGAAGGACGUGAUAAGCUGCGAUAAGCUUCGGGUAGGUGCAAAUAACCUUUGAUCCGAAGAUUUCCGAAUGGGACAACCUAGCCGUCUGAAGGACGGUUACUCUUACCAAGUAAGAGAGCUAACGCAGGGAACUGAAACAUCUUAGUACCUGCAGGAAGAGAAAAUAAAUGAAUGAUUCCCCCAGUAGUGGCGAGCGAACGGGGAACAGCCCAAACCGUUGACGUCGCAAGGCGCCAGCGGGGUUGUAGGACCGCGACAUUGUAUGCAAAUCGUGAACAGAACACUUUGGAAAAUGUGACCAUAGACGGUGAUAGUCCAGUAUGUGAAGCGAAAUGCAGCAUAGCGGUAUCCUGAGUAACGCGGGACACGAGGAAUCCUGCGCGAAUCUGCCGGGACCAUCCGGUAAGGCUAAAUACUCCCGUGAGACCGAUAGCGAACGAGUACUGUGAAGGAAAGGUGAAAAGAACCCCGAGCAGGGGAGUGAAAUAGUUCCUGAAACCAUACGCCUACAAGCGGUCGGAGCAUCGUAAGAUGUGACGGCGUGCCUUUUGCAUAAUGAUCCUACGAGUUACCGUCACUGGCGAGGUUGAGUGUCACGAGACACGUAGCCGCAGUGAAAGCGAGCCUGAAUAGGGCGCACAGUCAGUGGGGGUAGACGCGAAACCAAGUGAUCUACACUUGGCCAGGAUGAAGUCCCGGUAACACGGGAUGGAGGUCCGCACCAAUAAGCGUUGAAAAGCUUCUGGAUGAGCCGAGUGUAGGAGUGAAAGGCCAAUCAAACUUGGAGAUAGCUCGUACUCCCCGAAAGGCAUUUAGGUGCCGCGUCGGAUGGUCACCGUGAGAGGUAGAGCGACCGAUAGGACAAGAGGGCUUCACCGCCUAUCGAGUCCUGACGAACUCCGAAUGCUCACGGUCUGCAGUCCGGCAGUAAGGGGGCGGGUGCUAAGGUCCGUCCCCGAGAGGAGAAGAAUCCAGACCGCCGUCUAAGGUCCCGGAGUUCUGCCUGAGUUAGUCUAACGAAGUCUGGUCCCUAUGACAGCUAGGAUGUUGGCUUGGAAGCAGCCAUUCAUUCAAAGAGUGCGUAACAGCUCACUAGUCGAGGGUCCGGGCAUGGAUAAUAAUCGGGUAUAAGGCAGACACCGAAGGCGCGGGAUAGCAUUUAAGAAAGUAUCGGUAGGGGAGCAUACUCACAGCGUCGAAUGGUGUACGUAAGUUAUCCUGGAGCGGUGAGUAAAGCAAAUGUAGGAAUAAGUAACGAUAAGGAGGGUUAGAUUCCCUCCCGCUGUAAGACCAAGGUUUCCCGGGCAAUGCCAAUCAGCCCGGGGUCAGUCGGGUCCUAAGUCUAAGCCGAACGGCGAUGGCGAUGGCAGAGACGGUUAAUAUUCCGUCACUGCCGCAUGGGGCGACGUGGAGACGGAGCAGUGAAACCACCGCGGGGCGACGGAAGUCCCCGUUGAAGAGUGUAGGUGUUGAGGAUGGCAGGCAAAUCCACCGUCCGAGCUGAACUUGAUAGUAUGGAGUCUUCUUCGGAAGAAUCCAAUAGUGUGGGUAAUCAUACUCCCGAGAAAAUCCGCUAAGCUUAACCCAUGCGGCACCCGUACCGCAAACGGACACACGUGGUCGGGUAGAACAUACUAAGGCGUUGAGAGAUUCAUGGUUAAGGAACUAGGCAAAUUGACCCUGUAACUUCGGGAUAAAGGGUCCUCGUGAUGAGCGAGGCGCAGAGAAUAGGUCCAGGCAACUGUUUAACAAAAACACAGGGCUGUGCAAACUCGAAAGAUGACGUAUACAGCCUGACACCUGCCCGGUGCCGGAAGGUUAAGAGGAGAUGUCAACCGCAAGGCGAAGCAUUGAAUUGAAGCCCCGGUAAACGGCGGCCGUAACUAUAACGGUCCUAAGGUAGCGAAAUUCCUUGUCGGGU